UAGUCCUGCCCGCGCCCGGCCGGGGCUGGGCAGCAGGGUGCGUUGCGCGGCGGCGCUGGUGUCUGAGGCGGUGGCUCCGCUCUUCCGCCGCUCGGCACCCCGGCCCCGCCGAAACCGAUGUGUGGAAUGAAAAGGCAGAUGCCAGCAGGUGUCCUUUAGGAGGUGGAGGAGGGGAGGCGUAUGCUGUGUAGGUGAGCAGGGACUGGAACCACGGUGCAUGGUUCAAGAACUGGGUGCCUGACCUCGGCAGCUCAUUUACUUCAACAGUGCUGGAGCAGGAGAGCUGUCAUUCUUUCAUCUGCCUUUGUGCUGAAGAAGGUGGUGUGAACACUCUGACCAGGAGGAAUCAUAACCAGGAUCCCCAGCAGCAAGCACACCCUGCGAGGCAGUAGCUGGAACUGCUUCACUGCAGUAAGGAGUAUUCUCGUGUGCUGGGGCCUGGAGCCAAUGGCAGACAAUGUCAACAACUAACAACAUAGCGCAAGCCCGCAAGCUGGUGGAGCAGCUCCGCAUCGAAGCUGGCAUCGAGAGGAUCAAGGUCUCGAAAGCAUCUUCUGAGCUAAUGAAUUACUGUGAGCAACAUGCCAGGAAUGACCCGCUGCUGGUUGGAGUGCCCGCUUCGGAGAAUCCUUUUAAGGACAAAAAGCCUUGUAUCAUCCUAUAGCUUUUCUCACUCUGGCGUGUGUGAUCUCUCAGGCAGGGCACUGUUCUCCAUCAACUGAAACCAAGCUACAAACUUAUAACUGUGCCGAGGGGUAAAUACUAAAUGUUGGAUUCAAAUAGAAUUUAAAUCUUGGGGGGGGGGGGGGGAGGAGGGAGGGGGGAGGAGUGUAAAAAAUUGCAAGUGGUUUUAGGGAAGGGUGUCUGCUCCAGGGCAGGUGCUGCACUGAGAGGGGUCAACAUUUACAAAGAAGAAGGGAAAAAAACCCAAAACCCAUGAUUGAGGGGUGGGGGGAGUAUUUUUAAUAGCGACAUUUAUAAUUGGUAGUGGGGUGGUGGAGGCAGCAGGGGUUCUUAUUGCAUCUGCCAAUGCAAGAUCUAAGUAGUGGGACCUCCCCAUAGAAGCUUUGAACAAAGCUCUGAGUGGGUCUCAUCCAAUUAGUUUCUAAUUAGCACAUUGUUGCAAGAAUUUGCUCUGUUCCUUGAGGAGGGAACAAGGGAGAAGAGUCCAGGGGGGGAGUUAUUUUGUAGAAAGCUAGGACAAAAAAGGAAAACAAAACAAACCAACCAAACCAACCAAAACACAGCUUGGAAAACUGCUGUUGCAAAUGGGUAAACUGAGGCUGGGGGGAGGAGGAGGAGGAUGGAGGCCAGGAGGCUCCCUCCUUGUGCCGCACGGCUCUGCUUGGAGGAGGGGAUGGUACCACAGGAAAACGCUCUAUAGUGUCAUGUCUAUUGGCCAAGAGUUUCCAUGAGCAAUGUUAGGAAGCCUGAGGCAUGGGAGAGGCCGGGCUUGAGCUGCUCUGAUUGCUUCUGAGGUUUCUCUGUGCUGUUAUCACUGGUUUUCCCAAAUGGGACUGUACCGGGGAGGGGUGGGAGGGGAGCUUUCAGUUGUGCCAUAUCACAUGAAAAAUCUUUUUAAGUUUGCCUUUUGGUGAGUCUUCGUUCAAAACACUAAAUUUGACAGAUCUACGAGCAUUCUCCAUCUCCCUUUCUCUUACCAAGAGCGGCAAAUGGAAUUUGUUCCACGGAACCCAGUUAAUUCAGGGAGAUGAGGGUAAGGCUGUAGAAGAAAUAAGUUCUUUUCCCAUCCCUUGGAAAUCUUGAAAUGCCAUUUCAACGGGAGCGCUCUGUUCACCAAUGUUAAACGUUGCAGCGCCAGGGAGAACGUGGUAUGGAGCAGCUGUGAGGAAGAGGGGACAAGCAGGCGAGCCUUCCUCCCACUGCCCACCACAGAGCCCUGAUGGCAACAGAGCCCAGCGGCUCCGUGCUGGGACAGGCGGAUGCUCAGGAGGAAAUAUCAGAGCUCAGGGAAGUCCCACUGUGUUUUCCCCUUGUCGCUGGAGCUGCUACCCCACGGUAGGCAGAGGCAUGGUUCUAUUUCCUAACCAGCAUGCUCGUACUCGUUCCCAGUUAUCCUGAACACAGGCACCCCGUGCCGGGGUCUGAAUACAGGCGAUGAUGAGUUUCAGUUUUGGGAAGAGAGGGAGAAAAGAAAACAAAACAACACACCUGAUGUGAAAUCUUGGCAUUUUUCCCAUUCCCUCAAUGCUUUGGAUUUGGUUUGAAAUGCCCCGACCUCCCACUGGGAUGGAAACCACAGGCGGCUGAUCCCUUCAUGGGACAGGGAGUGCUUCCUGUGGCUGUGGCUGCUGGGAGCCCUUGGGAGGGGGAGCCUGGAGGAGACUCUGGUCUCCUUUUGGUGUUAAGCCAUGUUCACACUUUCUGUUGUGAUUCAGUUGGAGGGAGGAAACCUCGCAGCACAUAUUGCAUAAUGCUUAGGCUGGUCAGACUUCAUGGUCCAGGCAGGGUACUGGGAGGCUUUGCUGGCUGCUUUUCAGAGGCUGAUGGUGUUCCAAUGCCAGAGGCCGGCUCGAAGGCAGGGAUUGGAGCAGAGCCUGCAGUUAUGUGGCUGGUACCCAGGGAGGGUGGGUCGUCAUCAGGAAGAAGGGCAGCUUCAGAGGUUCUUCCUCCGGUGACGCAGAGGUGGGCUGUGGAGUAUUGGCUGAGUGCAGCUGGCACCUCUCCAGUACCAACCAGCCAUGCAGCCAGCUCGGCAGCGUUGGUGGAGGCUGUGGUUAGCAGAGCUGCUUCAUUUACACUUCUUGGUUGCAGGUAUCUUUCCAUCCCUUUCUUUAAGUCACUUGCCUUUUUAAACGAAGUUGGAAACCCCCCACACACGCAUUUUUAACACUAACACAAACCUUGGCACCUCCUGUGUACGUCUUGCAACUGCUUUCCUGGGGUCCUUUGCUGAUCUGAGCGUUUUACACCUCCUGUCUCCCCCCACCCCGCUGUGCCAUGGGCUCCUGUCCUGGCACCAGCCUUGUGACAGGUUGCUUGUGAUCCCCUGGAUUUCACUCUGUCCCUGUGUGAGUGCUGGGGGGAGGCAGAGCAGAGGGAAGUGGAUUUAUUUCCCUCUGCAGCUGAGCAUGUCCCCCAAGCCCUACUUGCACCCCAGCCUGACACCACGCUGAGCAUCGUCUGGCAGCCAAGGGCAGCAGCCCUGGCACAGCAACAGGCGAUGUCUUUUUGGUUUUGUUGUUUAUUUUUCUUUUAAAUCUUUCAUCCAACAUAAGCUCUCAAAUGCCGCAUCUGUAGCGGGGAGCGAGCACAGUCCUGAGGUGCGCCUGGGUUUUGCCGCAGCAGGGCUUUCUCUUCUCCAUGAGGGAACUUCCUCUGUCCUUAAUCUAGUACAGUUCCAGCCUUAUUUUUCUACUCCAGAUUGCUGAUUCUUCCUCUAUGUUAGAGACCUGUGCAUGGUGCUAUAGCCGGUGACCCAGGCAAGUGCCCGAGCUGCAGGUCAGCCAGAAAUACCUGCGCUCUGUGCGGCAGCAAGUGACUGAGGUUACCGCAGGAGCCAUACACCGCUCCUCCGCUUGAGACCUGGGCAGGGACUGUUGUCCCCCCCAUCCAUCACUGUCUCAUGCUGCCGAGGGGGCUUCCCGGCACCCCCUGCCUGCACCCUGCCCUCCACGGUGCCCAGGAUGGUGAUGGGGCAGCUCAGGCCCAUGGGGGGGCUUGCUGCGGGAUGCUGCCGCAGCCCAGUGAAGCAGGGUCUACCCCUUGUCCUCCCACCCGCAUGGGCCAUCACGCUCAUCCCUGGGGUCUUGCCUGAGUCACACUGGCGGUGGGGUGGCCAGUGAGGGGUGAGGCAACAGGUUUAGGUCCAAAGCGCGGCUGGAGAUGGGAGUGGGGGACAGGGAGCAUCUGCUUGGAGUCCCUUAGUAACCUGGGGACAGGGCCGGGGGCUCCCGGCACAGGGAUGCUGGUGGGCCAGAGGCAGCCCAUGGGGCAGGCAGGGGGCUGCCAGUGGGUGCUGGUGUCUCUCAGUGGGUGACUCGUUCAGUGGAAAAAUCCUCAAGUUUGUGGGUUUUCUUUGGGGUUUUUUUUAUUUUUUUUUUUUUAGUUUUUUUUUUUAGUUUUUUCCUUGUCUGAGUAAAUCAGUGCUCAUACUGUAGAUGUUUUUGUAUAGCAUAAAUAUAAGUGCAAAUUACAGUAGUUGCUUGUACUUUGUUAGUGCAUUUGCUGGGGGGAAAAAAACAAAACAAAACAAAAAAAAAAGACACUUUUCAGGACUUUUUAAGUGCUCCAGAUGGCAAAGGGCGAGUGGGGACCCCUGAUGAGGCAUGGGCAGGCAGUGCCAGCAGCCCCGGCCUCACAAAGGCCUUGGUUUUGGAUGUAAACACAUGCCCAAAUCUGCCUGGCAUUUCUUUUUAGCAUGUGGCGAAGCUGUUGCCAAAAGUAGAAAGGAGAGAGACUGCAAAAGAAAAAGGGAGAAGAGGAAACAUUGCUCCUAUUUAAUUUGUUGGUCCUUUUUCCUUGUCUUCCCCUCCCUGUCUCCGGGACCAUCCCAGUGGUGCAGCCAGAGCUGGGAGACGCCUGGCACCCGCAUGACACCGGCUGAUGGCUCAGUGCCGGAGCCUCCGGAGCCUGGAGCCAAUUCCCCUUCCUCCGAGUACUUAAAAAGUCAACUUUAACAAAGUCAAACUAAUGUAUUUACUUCAUUGAACAGAAGCCACGUGUCUGAUACUUUUGCGCUCUUAAUUUCUUCUCUCUGGCCUAUUAUAAUUAGUAGUAUUAUUUGCCAAACUCUGAUCUUGUUGCCAAACACAAAUCAAGGUUUGUAAAGACUGUAUUUAGGAAGUAAUUGGUGUCUGUAAUGUAGGCUCCUCAUAACGUCUGCAUUUUUGGAUCUCUUUGAUUUUUAUUUCUGGUGUGCCAUAGACCAAUUUCUUGCCCAGUGUUUAAUAUUUUGUGGAAUUGUUGUUAAGAAGUGAAAUUGAUAAUACAAUAAAAAGGCUCACUUUUCAUUUUGCCAGA